AGUGAACGCUGGCGGUAGGCCUAACACAUGCAAGUCGAACGGCAGCACAGUAAGAGCUUGCUCUUACGGGUGGCGAGUGGCGGACGGGUGAGGAAUACAUCGGAAUCUACUUUUUCGUGGGGGAUAACGUAGGGAAACUUACGCUAAUACCGCAUCCGACCUACGGGUGAAAGCAGGGGAUCUUCGGACCUUGCGCGAUUGAAUGAGCCGAUGUCGGAUUAGCUAGUUGGCGGGGUAAAGGCCCACCAAGGCGACGAUCCGUAGCUGGUCUGAGAGGAUGAUCAGCCACACUGGAACUGAGACACGGUCCAGACUCCUACGGGAGGCAGCAGGGGGGAAUAUUGGACAAUGGGCGCAAGCCUGAUCCAGCCAUACCGCGUGGGUGAAGAAGGCCUUCGGGUUGUAAAGCCCUUUUGUUGGGAAAGAAAAGCAGCAGGUUAAGACCCCGCUGUUCUGACGGUACCCAAAGAAUAAGCACCGGCUAACUUCGUG
rnacentral:rRNA from 1 species